CCUACGGGAGGCAGCAGUGAGGAAUAUUGGUCAAUGGCCGGAAGGCUGAACCAGCCAUGCCGCGUGAAGGUCAGUGCCCUAUGGGCGUUAAACUUCUUUUGUGCGGGAGCAAUAAUGGUCACGUGUGGCCAGACGAGAGUACCGUACGAAUAAGCAUCGGCUAACUCCGUGCCAGCAGCCGCGGUAAUACGGGGGGUGCAAGCGUUAUCCGGGUUAUUGGGGUUUAAAGGGGGGGUAGGCUGUGAGGUAAGUCAGCGGUGAAAUGCCCCCGCUCAACGGGGUGAAGUGCCAUGGAUACUGCCUUGCUGGAAUGCGGAUGCCGUGGGAGGAAUGUGUGGUGUAGCGGUGAAAUGCAUAGAUAUCACACAGAACACCGAUUGCGAAGGCAUCUCACGAAUCCGCGAUUGACGCUGAUGCACGAAAGCGUGGGUAUCAAACAGGAUUAGAUACCCGGGUAGUC
rnacentral:rRNA from 1 species